GUUCCGGUUUGAGAUUUCGGGGUGGACGGUAAACAUGGACAUUGACAACGAUAGUACAGAAGGUGUGGAGAAUAUUCAAAAUGUAAACGCUUUUAACGAUCAGAUGCCUUUGUAUCCUGACGAUUACUACGAGAAAAAAACGAGAUGUAAGAAGAUAAUAUUUUUUGGAAUAGUGGGAAUAAUGGUUGCGAUAACCAUUAUCAUAUCCCUGAGUCGGGGAGCUUCAACACAUGUUUCUUAUGUGUUGUUAGGAUUUAGCAUUUUCUGUAUAACACUUGUGGAAAUUGCUCUUUGGUGGCUGCAUCGAGGGAAACAACUUGAUAAUGAAAAAGAAUGGUUCAUUUAUUUUGUUGGAGUUUGCAUUAUCAUAGAAGCAAUUUUCACAGAUGUUUUGCUGUUUGAUAAAAGUGGAUAAUGGUUUCAUGUGGUAUCCUUAGUUUUCAUUAAUAAAACACUCAGUUUUUCUCAGAAUUUUUGAACAGACGGAUUGAAUUUUUCAAUGUGGAUAUUAGAUAUGUCAGCAUCUCCAUCCCAAGGAAUAACAUCUCCAAAUUUCAUUGCCCCAAGCAAUGUUCCUAUUAAUAUAAAGAUUGAAUCAAAUAAAAGUGAAGGAUAAGUGAAGGUGGACAGCAAGAUCGAAGCUCAGCAAGAUUGAAGAUUGUUCGAGGAAGAAGGAGUUCGCCGUUGACUAAAAGGUUUAUCUGAACAGCUAGUUGUCAAGAUGAAUGCGAAGACUCGCCCGGCCAAAUUCAAAAUGGCGAUGCCAAAGAAAACCAUCCACCUGGACCGUUCGCGGACCUUUCUGAGCAAGAUUGUUGGGCUGUCUGGUCAAAGUUAAGUAUUUUAUAUUGAUGUUUGUGUGCCUUCGGCUAAUUGUUGGCCAGAAAUGACAAAAAGCCAUAUACAAUAUGAAAUAUUCUGCGUACAAGGUUAUCUAAAGUUUCGAGCUUAAUUCUGCCUGCAAUGAUGAUAAUUUUUUACUGAAAAUUUAUGUCAUGAGCAACUUCCGCACCUAUAGACUGAAGCAGAACUGAACAUUUUGUAAUUAACGUUUAUC